GAGAUAUUAGUUUAAUUAAAGAACGGGUGGCUGUUAACCGCUUGGUAUGGGUGGGUUCAUAUAUCUC
rnacentral:tRNA from 2 species